AGAGUUUGAUCCUGGCUCAGGACGAACGCUGGCGGCGUGCUUAACACAUGCAAGUCGAACGGAGAUUAGAGAUGAAGCUUGCGAUUUUCUAAUCUUAGUGGCGGACGGGUGAGUAACGCGUGGGCAACCUACCCGUAAGAGGGGGAUAACAGUUGGAAACGACUGCUAAUACCGCAUACACUGUCAAAGCUGCAUGGCGAAGACAGGAAAGAUGGCCUCUGUUUACAAGCUAUCACUUACAGAUGGGCCCGCGUCUGAUUAGCUGGUUGGUGGGGUAACGGCCUACCAAGGCAACGAUCAGUAGCCGGCCUGAGAGGGUGGACGGCCACACUGGGACUGAGACACGGCCCAGACUCCUACGGGAGGCAGCAGUGGGGAAUAUUGCGCAAUGGGGGAAACCCUGACGCAGCGACGCCGCGUGAGCGAAGAAAGCCUUAGGGUUGUAAAGCUCUGUUCUAUGGGACGAAGUCCCUGACUGUAAACAAUGGUCAGGGGUGACGGUACCAUAGGAGGAAGCCCCGGCUAACUACGUGCCAGCAGCCGCGGUAAGACGUAGGGGGCGAGCGUUGUCCGGAAUUACUGGGCGUAAAGAGCACGUAGGCGGGACCUUAAGUCAGGUGUGAAAGACCGGGGCCUAACCCCGGGGUUGCACUUGGAACUGGGGUUCUUGAGGGCAGGAGAGGAAAGCAGAAUUCCUGGUGUAGCGGUGAAAUGCGUAGAAAUCAGGAGGAAUACCAGUGGCGAAAGCGGCUUUCUGGACUGACCCUGACGCUGAGGUGCGAAAGCGUGGGUAGCAAACAGGAUUAGAUACCCUGGUAGUCCACGCUGUAAACGAUGGAUACUAGGUGUGGGAGGUAUCGACCCCUUCCGUGCCGGAGCUAACGCAAUAAGUAUCCCGCCUGGGGAGUACGGUCGCAGGCUGAAACUCAAAGGAAUUGACGG
rnacentral:rRNA from 1 species